GUCUUUUCCUGGCUGUCCUGUGUUGGUGAUAAAUGGAUCACAAUUUCAGGACUUCACACCAUUUCACCAGUCUCCUCUAAUAAUUUCUACUGUUUUUUAUUGAUCCCAAGGGGACACAUCCUGCUAGGUUUAUUCUUGAGGAAGCCCAUUCCGCUGCUGCACAAAGCUGGCAUUGUCAGGAAGAUUUAGCUCCCGAUGACAAAACAUCUUUCAUUGUGAAUUCUACUCAUCAUA
rnacentral:lncRNA from 1 species